UGGGUCGUGGAGUUAUAAAUGUUGCGUGGUAGCCGAACGGUAUUGAAUGACCGACCGUAGAGGGUGGUAGUCCUGUAGGCGAAAUUGCGUGACCUCUUUGAAGUGUCCCCGAGUAGCACCGGACUCGUGAAAUCUGGUGUGAAUCUGGCAAGACCACUUGCUAAGCCUGAAUACUACCUGGUGACCGAUAGCGGACUAGUACCGUGAGGGAAAGGUGAA
rnacentral:rRNA from 1 species